AUACAUGCAAGUCGAGCGGACAGAUGGGAGCUUGCUCCCUGAUGUUAGCGGCGGACGGGUGAGUAACACGUGGGUAACCUGCCUGUAAGACUGGGAUAACUCCGGGAAACCGGGGCUAAUACCGGAUGCUUGAUUGAACCGCAUGGUUCAAUUAUAAAAGGUGGCUUUUAGCUACCACUUACAGAUGGACCCGCGGCGCAUUAGCUAGUUGGUGAGGUAACGGCUCACCAAGGCAACGAUGCGUAGCCGACCUGAGAGGGUGAUCGGCCACACUGGGACUGAGACACGGCCCAGACUCCUACGGGAGGCAGCAGUAGGGAAUCUUCCGCAAUGGACGAAAGUCUGACGGAGCAACGCCGCGUGAGUGAUGAAGGUUUUCGGAUCGUAAAACUCUGUUGUUAGGGAAGAACAAGUACCGUUCGAAUAGGGCGGUACCUUGACGGUACCUAACCAGAAAGCCACGGCUAACUACGUGCCAGCAGCCGCGGUAAUACGUAGGUGGCAAGCGUUGUCCGGAAUUAUU
rnacentral:rRNA from 1 species